rnacentral:rRNA from 1 species
UACGUAGGGAGCGAGCGUUAUCCGGAAUUAUUGGGUGUAAAGGGUGCGUAGACGGGUAAAUAAGUUAGUUGUGAAAUCCCUCGGCUCAACUGAGGAACUGCAACUAAAACUGUAUAUCUUGGGUGCGGGAGAGGAAAGUGGAAUUCCUAGUGUAGCGGUGAAAUGCGUAGAUAUUGGGAGGAACACCAGUGGCGAAGGCGACUUUCUGGACCGUAACUGACGUUGAGGCACGAAAGUGUGGGGAGCAAACAGG